rnacentral:hammerhead_ribozyme from 1 species
AUCCAGUUGAUGAGUCCCAAAUAGGACGAAACACGAGUCCUGGAU